rnacentral:rRNA from 1 species
AAUAUAAGAGGUCCAGCCUGCCCAGUGAUAAAAUUCAACGGCCGCGGUACCCUAACCGUGCGAAGGUAGCAUAAUCACUUGUUCUCUAAAUAGGGACUAGUAUCAACGGCACCACGAGGGCUGUACUGUCUCCUUUCUCCCAUCAGUGAAACUGAUCUCCCCGUGAAAAAGCGGGAAUUAUUAUAUAAGACGAGAAGACCCCAUGGAGCUUUAAACUCAUCACCCACUUCCUUACUUCUAUACCCAACCCAUAUAAGGAGCCUGUGUGGUAGUUUUGGGUUGGGGGGACCACGGAGUACAAUUUAACCUCCAUGACAAAUGGGCUACGCCCUUAUCUACGAACUACAACUCUAAGAAUCAUAAGCUGAUGUUUAAUGACCCGAUAUUCGAUCAACGAACCAAGUUACCCUGGGGAUAACAGCGCAAUCUACUUUAAGAGCCCCUAUCGACAAGUAGGUUUACGACCUCGAUGUUGGAUCAGGGCAUCCUGGGGGUGCAGCCGCUCCUAAUGGUUCGUU